rnacentral:tRNA from 1 species
GGAGGGUUAGACCUAAUUGGUAAGGCAGCGGACUUGAAAUCCGCCGUUCCCGAAAGGGAACAUGGGGGUUCGAGUCCCUCACCCUCCG